AGAGACAGCAGUCGCCGCGGUAAUACGGAGGGUGCAAGCGUUAUCCGGAUUUAUUGGGUUUAAAGGGUCCGUAGGCGGAUCUGUAAGUCAGUGGUGAAAUCUCACAGCUUAACUGUGAAACUGCCAUUGAUACUGCAGGUCUUGAGUAAAUUUGAAGUGGCUGGAAUAAGUAGUGUAGCGGUGAAAUGCAUAGAUAUUACUUAGAACACCAAUUGCGAAGGCAGGUCACUAAGAUUUAACUGACGCUGAUGGACGAAAGCGUGGGGAGCGAACAGGAUUAGAUACCCCUGUAGUCCCUGUCUCUUAUAC
rnacentral:rRNA from 1 species